rnacentral:lncRNA from 1 species
CAUUAUUUUAAGCUUUUUAAUGUCUUUCUUGCUUAUGCUAAAUGUGGUAAUAUGAUGUUCUUAGAGUUGGAAAUCAUUUCUAUUUUGUUCAACAGUUGAGGCAGAGUAGCUGGGAAUACACGGUGUUGUAGUGGCAGUGUUUUGAAGACCAAUCAUUGAAUUUUGAUUCUUGUGAUCCAUUUCUAGACCGCAACCCAAGAAAUCUGAAAGAAAGACUUGAUCGAAUUGGCUUUUUAAGAUAUGGUGUUUGCCAUUAUAUUCUUCCUUUUCCUUUUUCUUCUUUUCUUUUUUAUUUUUUGGUGAAAUUUUCUUUCUUUUAACUCUUCUUAUCUUGGAUAUUGAUAUAAUUGAUUACACCAUUAAAGCAAAUAUUCUCUUUGGAAUAAUUUCUUUGAGACUUUUGUCCAAGAGUGAGCCAUUUAGAUUGCUUUCAUAAUGCAA